UGAGUGCCAAUGGAACCAGUAGAUCCAACGAUGGAGAUGGGUUUAGGUCCAUCCCAAGAUUGACGAGGAGGCUCGGGAACAGCUCUCCCAGGCCAUGCCGGAGGAGGUUGCUGCUGCUGCUGUUGCACUUUCACGGAACACUUGACGACUCCUUUUCCAAAACCUCUCCCUUGAUUCCUCUUCCUCAAGCUACACCCACCUGUGACAACUCCAAAGAUGUAAACUUUAAACUCUCAUCCAACUUUGAGAGUUGAACCAGCCGAUUAGUGUCUGAAUUCGAAGAAUUUACAGCGAAUCAGAUCAUGUGACACAGUUUGAAGAUACCCAGAUGUCGAAAUUCAUAAGAGCAUACGAAAAAACUAAUGAAAGAUUGAAGCUUUUUCUAGGAGAGAAACCUGGAAGUUUGGGGGUUUGGUUGAACCUGGAGGUCUCGAAGAAACAAAGAGAUAUGGAUUCAGCCGAUGGAGAGAGUGAGUUAAGUGUCAUCAUCAGUCUGUCUUUUCAAACAAAUCGAAUCUUUUUCCAGAGAGAACCCACUACUCCGUUUUUUUUUUUUGAUUCAGUUCGACGAUAGAGAGAAGAACAAGCAUAAACAGUGUGAGAGAUGAUAAGAAGAAUAUUAAUGAAUUAGUGGUAGUAGGAUCGCAAUUUGAAUGGUUCACGACAUUUUCUCAAUUUAUUUAAUAUCGUGUUUUUAACAUUGUUAUUGCUAAGAUCCGACUUUUUGGGGUUUUUAGUCAAAUCAAUUUCUAUUAAGAUAACGACAACAAGUUGUAAAAUGUAAACGGUAGCAUAUAUGCUGUCCCCAUUUUUCUUCUUUUUUUUUUUUUUUGGCUCAACUUCAACUUUUCAUUAACCAAAGGAGUAGUACAUGAUCUUAACCACAAAGGAUUCAACCACACUUACAAACAAAGUAAUCUAGUAUCACCCAGGAACACAUAGAUGGAUCCUACGCUACCCGAUCGAGACUUUGUUGUAAUUCUACCCAAUGAGUACAAGCAUUCCCCACGACUCGGAAAACACUGUCUCUUAGACCCCUAAAUUCGACCACACGAAUGAACAACGGGAAGUCCGAAGAUAAACUGAAACUAAUCAAAGUUUAACAUUUAGAAACCAAGCAUUAGUCGCCAAAAGAUAUGCGUUCCGGACUCGGACCAAUUCUUCAGCACCGAAAUGGUGCAACCUUGAUUAGAUUCAGCAUCACUGGACUUGACCGUCUCACUCCUUAGCCGGAAAGACGGCACAGAGCCGUACUGAUAAAAUCGGACCUGACAACCAACAAACACAACCGGAACAGCAUACCCUAGCUUCAAAUGGCGUGAGACCUUACCACCGGACAAUCUGCAGUGACGCCGGUGCUGGGAUGUAGGGCCUCACCGUGUGCGACCCGUGAAGCGUCCUCCACCGGUUGACUACUCCGACGGCGUUAAACUUCACCACACGUUGCCUCCGAGAACCGGAUAGACAAAACCAUCUUCUGCCGCUUGUUCAAACGCUUCUCCAUCUGUGUCACUGCCGCAAGGGGUAGAUCCAAGUCGGAGAAGGACUCCCACUGGGUCACGCGCCGUUGUCACGGAGUCCACGCCACAGAUCUGAAAGAUUGAAAACUAGAUCCGGCGGCCACUCCAGUCCUAAAAGCCGACCUCACUCUUACCAGUCGCGUCUCAGUCUCGUCUCUUUUCCAGGGCCACCGUCGCGUCUCCUUCGACCACCAUGAGUCUUGGGUGACGAAACGUUGAAACCAGAAUCGAGGACAUAUCAACCGGACUUGAAACAGAUGAGAAGAGAGGCAAAAGAAAAAGGAGGAAAAGGGAAGAAGACACAGCCUCCGGUACCGGCACGGCACCGGACCGGAGGAAUAAGCUCUGUUGGUGUGGCGGCUAGCGAGAGAGAGAGAGAGAGGAAACUGUCUCGAGUUUUUUAGUAAUUUUGUUUAAUUUGGUGACCUACCUCUCCAGUUAAUAAAAUUUAAUAAUUUUGAAUUAAAAAGAAAUAAGAAAAAAGGGUUGGAGUGUGAGAGUCUUUCAUUUGUAGAGAGAGAGCUUUUCUUAUCUACCGCACAACUCUCUCUCUCGCUUCUGCUCUUCUCUCAUACCUCUCCGUCGUCACCCAUUCGAUAACGGUAAAGAUUCAGCUUCUUUCUCCUUCCUCUGUAUUCUCCGCGGCUGUUUGUUCUCUCUUCAUCGCUUGGAAUCAUCCAGAAAAUGUUGUUUGGUUGAUUUAUUCUUAUCCUCAGUAGAGCACCCCCCAGCUCGUGGUUAAGAGCUAAAUUACCAUCGUAUUUCUUCAUAAAGCUUUGUCCUUUUCUAUGGUUAAUAUGGUGAAAGUGAAGUUCUUUUAGUUUUUCUGAAGUCUGUUAUCGGGUGAAAUUCUCAUGAAAUGAAAUUGCAUAAAUCUUAUUAGGUGUUUGAAAAAGCUUGAAUCUUUUGUGUGUUUGGUUGUUAAAGAAAGUGGACUUGUUGCUAGGUUUAUCUAGAAAAGACUUGUUUGUGUUUGCAGGGGAGUGUGAUAUGGCUCUUAUACAAUUUGGAAGCUCAUCAUGUGUCUUUGUUCGGAUCACAGACAAAUUAGGUACAACUUAGAAUCAGUAAUCCUUGCCAAAAACGGUGUUUAAAGUAACACAGUCGCUGCACUAAUGUUUUUUCCAUCAUUUCUUAUUAUUCACUUGGCUCCAACAAGUAUUUAAUCAUCAGGCAGGAACUGGCCUCGCACCAGAAGAAAGCUGUACAUUCGCAGCGUAUUCACGCGCCCACAAGUCAUAGUGAACAAUCUCUUCAAGAGACGGCGAUGUUACCAACUCACUUCGAUGCUUAUCACAUGUUAAUUCCACCACCUUGAAGAUAUCCAAAUAACUUAUCCUGUAAACAAAAACAACGUUAUACGGUUUCAAGAACACCCGAGAUGAACCCACUUUUAAAAAAACUUACUUUUCAUCAAUGAACAUUUCAACAGCUUUCUCGUUAGCUGCACUUAGAACUCCAGUCAUAGUACCUCCAGCUCGUCCCGCAGCAUAAGCAAGAUCCAUUGAUGGAUAUUUCACAUUAUCUGGUUUCUUGAAUGUCAACGAACCCAGUCUACCCACAAUCACACAAUCUUAAACCAUUUUUUUGGUUUUUAUAUAUUUGAACCGAACCAAAAUAUAUAUAGCUGUGGGUUGGCUUACUUGCAAAGGUCAAGUCUUGGCCAAGUUACUUCAGAACAAGGAACCCUGUCGGGCCAUGACAUGGUGUAGAGAAUCGGCAAACGCAUAUCAGGCCAUCCCAGUUGAGCAAGCACAGAUGAAUCCUAUCGAACAAAAAACGUUAAAACCCUGUUUCUGAAAACCAUAAGAUGGAAAUGAAGUUUUGUUUUCAGAAGCAAGACCUGAGUUUCAAUCAUGGAGUGUAUGAUACUCUGAGGAUGAAUGACAAUCUCUAUAUCGUCAUACUCAGCUCCAAACAAAUAAUGAGCUUCAAUGACCUCAAGACCCUGGUUUCAAGAAAGUCAAGAACUCACAUCUUACCACCUUGAUCAAAUGUUACUUUUUUAAAUCAAAAGUUUAGUUCGAGAAAAAAGAACCUUGUUGAAAAGCGUAGCUGAGUCGACUGUGAUUUUCUUUCCCAUGCUCCAGUUAGGAUGCUUCAACGCAUCUGCUACUUUAACUUCCUUGAGCUUUUCAACUGGCCAAUCUCUAUAACCAACAUCCAGUUUUCUUAUUUAACCAAAAGAGUUAUAGAGAGCGAGAAGAAUAGCACACAGAUGUUGAAGCAAACCUAAAAGCUCCACCAGAUGCAGUCAAGAUUAUCUUGCGCAAAGCGCCUUCAGGCAAACCUUGAAUACACUAUAAAAGAAGAAAACAGGAAUCACUCAAUUAGCCAGAGAUAGAAAAGUUGUUUAAGGCGAAGAUGUAUAAGUCUAAUACCUGAAAUAUAGCUGAAUGUUCUGAAUCAGCUGGAAGGAUCUUAACAUUAUGUUUGUUGGCAAGUGGAAGCACGAAGGGACCACCUGCUAUUAGUGUCUCUUUGUUUGCAAGGGCAAUGUCCUUCCCCGCUUCAAUUGCAGCAACCGUAGGCUGCAUGCAAAAAAAAGCAACUUUCAAGUUCAUAUUCUCUAAAUAAGGUUUUUUACUUGGUAACAAAAUACAUUAGAGUUUAUUAUACCUUUAGACCUGCGCAACCUACUAUACCUGUAACAACAGUUACAGCGUCAGGGUGACGGGCAACCUCAAUGACUCCUUGCUCCCCAGGAAUGAUCUCAGGUUUAUAGUCCAAACCGGCUAAAGCAUCUUUAAGCUCAUCGACCAAUGACUCUUUUCUAACAGCAACCAAUGCAGGUUUAAAUCUCUUUACCUGCAACCAUAAUAUAGAGGUUUCUCGAGAUCACUGAAGGUGUAGAAACUAAGUAACUAGUUUACAAUAUCUUUUUAAUGGUUGUGCCACUGAAACUGGCGAGUAAAAUUGAUGCCAGGAUAGUCUAAAGGAUGGUUGAAAAAAAAAUCUAAACAAGAAGCUGAUUUCACGGUUUGACCUGGCUGCACAACUAGUUUAGAGUAUCUUGCUAAUGACACUACCACUUAAGAGGGAGAUACAACUAAUUCCGGGAGGUCUUAAACAAUGAAUUGGAGACAGUAAUUACUGUAAACUAACACAUAAUGCCUAAUUUUACCUGAUCAGCAAGGAGAGCAACAUUCGAACCAGCAGCUAGAGCCACGACUCUAAAUUUGUCAGGAUUCUCGGCGACUAUAUCCAAUGUCUGCAAUUAAAAAACACACAUACAAGACUCCGUAAUCAAUAAGAAUGAUUAGUCUCAUCCAUACUUCUACUAGGAAAUCACUAAAGCAUUGCAUGAGUGAUAUGGUAAAAAAAAAACUCUUUCUUCUUUGUGCCUGCCUAUGGAGCUAGAAUAAUCUGGCAAAAGAGCAAGCAAACAAGGAAGGGAUAGAGAACCUGAGUGCCAAUGGAACCAGUAGAUCCAACGAUGGAGAUGGGUUUAGGUCCAUCCCAAGAUUGACGAGGAGGCUCGGGAACAGCUCUCCCAGGCCAUGCCGGAGGAGGUUGCUGCUGCUGCUGUUGCACUUUCACGGAACACUUGACGACUCCUUUUCCAAAACCUCUCCCUUGAUUCCUCUUCCUCAAGCUACACCCACCUGUGACAACUCCAAAGAUGUAAACUUUAAACUCUCAUCCAACUUUGAGAGUUGAACCAGCCGAUUAGUGUCUGAAUUCGAAGAAUUUACAGCGAAUCAGAUCAUGUGACACAGUUUGAAGAUACCCAGAUGUCGAAAUUCAUAAGAGC
rnacentral:lncRNA from 1 species